AUUGAACGCUGGCGGCAGGCCUAACACAUGCAAGUCGAACGAGGGGCGGACGGGUGAGCAAUUUCUGGGAAACUGCCUGAUGGAGGGGGAUAACUACUGGAAACGGACGCUAAAACCGCAUACACUCAGAUGGACCCAGAUGGGAUUAGCUUGUUGGUGGGGUAACGGCGCACCAAGGGGACGAUCCCUAGCUGGUCGGAGAGGAUGACCAGCCACACUUGAACUGAGACACGGUCCAGACUCCUACGGUAGGCAGCAGUGGGGAAUAUUGCACAAUGGGCGCAAGCCUGAUGCAGCCAUGCCGCGUGUAUGAAGAAGGCCUUCGGGUUGUAAAGUACUUUCAGCGGGGAGGCGUUACCCGCAGAAGAAGCACCGGCUAACUCCGUGCCAGCAGCCGCGGUAAUUC
rnacentral:rRNA from 1 species